rnacentral:rRNA from 1 species
GACGAAGGGGGGCUAGCGUUGUUCGGAAUUACUGGGCGUAAAGCGCGCGUAGGCGGUCUUUCAAGUCAGGAGUGAAAGCCCCGGGCUCAACCCGGGAAUAGCUCUUGAUACUGUUGGACUUGAGUCCGGGAGAGGAUAGUGGAAUUCCCAGUGUAGAGGUGAAAUUCGUAGAUAUUGGGAAGAACACCAGUGGCGAAGGCGGCUAUCUGGACCGGUACUGACGCUGAGGCACGAAAGCGUGGGGAGCAAACAGG